rnacentral:rRNA from 1 species
AGUGAACGCUGGCGGUAGGCCUAACACAUGCAAGUCGAACGGCAGCACAGUAAGAGUUUGCUCUUACGGGUGGCGAGUCGCGGGCGGGAGAGGUGUAUAUCGGAAUCUACAUUUUCGUGGGGGAUCACGUAGGGAAACUUACGCUAAUACCGCAUACGAUCUACGGGUGAAAGCAGGGGAUCUUCGCACCUUGCGCGAUUGAAUGCGCCGAUGUCGGAUUAGCUAGUUGGCGGGGUAAAGGCCCACCAAGGCGACGAUCCGUAGCUGGUCUGAGAGGAUGAUCAGCCACACUGGAACUGAGACACGGUCCAGACUCCUACGGGAGGCAGCAGUGGGGAAUAUUGGACAAUGGGCGCAAGCCUGAUCCAGCCAUACCGCGUGGGUGAAGAAGGCCUUCGGGUUGUAAAGCCCUUUUGUUGGGAAAGAAAAGCAGCAGGUUAAUACCCCGCUGUUCUGACGGUACCCAAAGAAUAAGCACCGGCUAACUUCGUG